rnacentral:tRNA from 1 species
UCUAUCAAAGGAAAAAAGCUCUCCACUGGCCUUAGGCGCCAAA